rnacentral:misc_RNA from 1 species
GAGGGCAUCCGGCUACCUGCUGAGGUAUUUAAACUCAUCCAAAUCUGUAGUUUGACUUUCUUCUGGCUCUUAUUUUUUAUCCGUGCCGUAGAUUGCAUAUUUUUUCCUACGUGUUCCAUCUAUUAUUCUUGCCAUAAUUACACCUGAAUCAAGUACUGUCACAUCUUUGUUUGCCGUAUAAGUAAAAUUAUUUGUUAGCAACUUUUACUGGGCAGAGACAAAUUGGAUUUUGGAAGC